UACGGAGGGUGCAAGCGUUAUCCGGAUUUAUUGGGUUUAAAGGGUCCGUAGGCGGAUCUGUAAGUCAGUGGUGAAAUCUCACAGCUUAACUGUGAAACUGCCAUUGAUACUGCAGGUCUUGAGUGUUAUUGAAGUAGCUGGAAUAAGUAGUGUAGCGAUGAAAUGCAUAGAUAUUACUUAGAACACCAAUUGCGAAGGCAGGUUACUAAGCAACAACUGACGCUGAUGGACGAAAGCGUGGGGAGCGAACAGG
rnacentral:rRNA from 1 species